AACUCCAAGAGUGUAUCUUAAUGUUGCUGCAGUUAAAAAGCUCGUAGUUGAACUUCUGGUUGUUGAAAAUUCUUUUAGUUUUUUCGACAAUCAUCCGCUCGGAGAAGUAUAAUUUCCUUCAAAAGAAUUUAUACAGACCCAGCAUUUUACUUUGAAGAAAUUAGAGUGUUCCUGGCAGGCUCAGCUUGCAUAUAUUAGCAUGGAAUAAUGGAAUAGGACCUUUUCUGUUUUAUUGGUUGACAGAUAGGUAAUGAUUAACAGGGACAGUCGGGGGCAUUCGUACUCAGUGGCUAGAGGUAAAAUUCUGUGAUUCGCUGAAGACGAACUAAUGCGAAAGCAUUUGCCAAGGAUGUUUUCA
rnacentral:rRNA from 1 species